rnacentral:tRNA from 1 species
AAGCUUAGGUUAAUUAAUAAACCAGGAGCCUUCAAAGCCCCAAAUAGGGACCUAAACCCUAACUUCUG